rnacentral:rRNA from 1 species
CGUUGACCGUGGCAAGGUAGCAUAAUCAUUUGUCUUUUAAUUGAAGGCUUGUAUGAAAGGUUGAAUGAGAAAUAAUCUAUUUUUAUUUAAUUAAAAAUGAAUUUUAAUUAUUCAUAAAAAUGUGAAUGUAAAAAUAAAAGACGAGAAGACCCUAUAAAUCUUUAUUUUUUUUAUUUUAUAGAAUUUUAUAGUAUAUUUAAAUUUAUAAAAUAAAAAAAAUUUUAUUGGGGUGAUAAUGAAAUUUAAUUAACUUUUAUUUAUAAAAAUAAAAAUAAUUAGUUUAUUGAUCCAUUAAUAAUGAUUAAAAAAUUAAGUUACUUUAGGGAUAACAGCGUAAUUAUUUUGGAGAGUUCUUAUCAAUAAAAUAGAUUGCGACCUCGAUGUUGAGAUUAUAGAGUAGAUUGCAGACAUGUCAG